rnacentral:rRNA from 1 species
GAGAAUGCCGGUGUGAGUAGCGAAAGACGGGUGAGAAUCCCGUCCACCGAUUGACUAAGGUUUCCAGAGGAAGGCUCGUCCGCUCUGGGUUAGUCGGGUCCUAAGCUGAGGCCGACAGGCGUAGGCGAUGGAUAACAGGUUGAUAUUCCUGUACCACCUAUAAUCGUUUUAAUCGAUGGGGGGACGCAGUAGGAUAGGCGAAGCGUGCGAUUGGAUUGCACGUCUAAGCAGUAAGGCUGAGUAUUAGGCAAAUCCGGUACUCGUUAAGGCUGAGCUGUGAUGGGGAGAAGACAUUGUGUCUUCGAGUCGUUGAUUUCACACUGCCGAGAAAAGCCUCUAGAUAGAAAAUAGGUGCCCGUACCGCAAACCGACACAGGUAGUCAAGAUGAGAAUUCUAAGGUGAGCGAGCGAACUCUCGUUAAGGAACUCGGCAAAAUGACCCCGUAACUUCGGGAGAAGGGGUGCUCUUUAGGGUUAACGCCCAGAAGAGCCGCAGUGAAUAGGCCCAAGCGACUGUUUAUCAAAAACACAGGUCUCUGCUAAACCGUAAGGUGAUGUAUAGGGGCUGACGCCUGCCCGGUGCUGGAAGGUUAAGAGGAGUGGUUAGCUUCUGCGAAGCUACGAAUCGAAGCCCCAGUAAACGGCGGCCGUAACUAUAACGGUCCUAAGGUAGCGAAAUUCCUUGUCGGGUAAGUUCCGACCCGCACGAAAGGCGUAACGAUUUGGGCACUGUCUCAACGAGAGACUCGGUGAAAUCAUAGUACCUGUGAAGAUGCAGGUUACCCGCGACAGGACGGAAAGACCCCGUGGAGCUUUACUGUAGCCUGAUAUUGAAAUUCGGCACAGCUUGUACAGGAUAGGUAGGAGCCUUUGAAACGUGAGCGCUAGCUUACGUGGAGGCGCUGGUGG